rnacentral:rRNA from 1 species
UGCAAGUCGAGCGGCAGCGGAAGUACCUUGCUACUUUGCCGGCGAGCGGCGGACGGGUGAGUAAUGUCUGGGAAACUGCCUGAUGGAGGGGGAUAACUACUGGAAACGGUAGCUAAUACCGCAUAACGUCGCAAGACCAAAGAGGGGGACCUUCGGGCCUCUUGCCAUCAGAUGUGCCCAGAUGGGAUUAUCUAGUAGGUGGGGUAACGGCUCACCUAGGCGACGAUCCCUAUCUGGUCUGAGAGGAUGACCAGCCACACUGGAACUGAGACACGGUCCAGACUCCUACGGGAGGCAGCAGUGGGGAAUAUUGCACAAUGGGCGCAAGCCUGAUGCACCCAUGCCGCGUGUAUGAAGAAGGCCUUCGGGUUGUAAAGUACUUUCAGCGGGGAGGAAGGUGCUGAGGUUAAUAACCUCAGCAAUUGACGUUACCCGCAGAAGAAGCACCGGCUAACUCCGUGCCAGCAGCCGCGGUAAUACGGAGGGUGCAAGCGUUAAUCGGAAUUACUGGGCGUAAAGCGCACGCAGGCGGUCUGUCAAGUCAGAUGUGAAAUCCCCGGGCUCAACCUGGGAACUGCAUUCGAAACUGGCAGGCUAGAGUCUUGUAGAGGGGGGUAGAAUUCCAGGUGUAGCGGUGAAAUGCGUAGAGAUCUGGAGGAAUACCGGUGGCGAACGCGGCCCCCUGGACAAAGACUGACGCUCAUGUGCGAAAGCGUGGGGAGCAAAC